AUUGAACGCUGGCGGCAGGCCUAACACAUGCAAGUCGAGCGGAUGAAGGGAGCUUGCUCCUGGAUUCAGCGGCGGACGGGUGAGUAAUGCCUAGGAAUCUGCCUGGUAGUGGGGGAUAACGUCCGGAAACGGGCGCUAAUACCGCAUACGUCCUGAGGGAGAAAGUGGGGGAUCUUCGGACCUCACGCUAUCAGAUGAGCCUAGGUCGGAUUAGCUAGUUGGUGGGGUAAAGGCCUACCAAGGCGACGAUCCGUAACUGGUCUGAGAGGAUGAUCAGCCACCCUGGAACUGGGACACGGUCCAGACUCCUGCGGGAGGCCGCAGUGGGGAAUAUUGGACAGUAGGCGAGAGCCUGAUACAGCCAUGCCGCGUGUGUGAAGAAGGUCUUCGGAUUGUAAAGCACUUUAAGUUGGGAGGAAGGGCAGUAAGUUAAUACCUUGCUGUCUUGACGUUAACAACAGAAUAAGCACCGGCUAACUUCGUG
rnacentral:rRNA from 1 species